UACGUAGGGUCCGAGCGUUGUCCGGAGUUACUGGGCGUAAAGCGCGCGCAGGCGGCGGUGCUGGCCCGGCGUGAAAGCCCCCGGCUCAACCGGGGAGGGUCGUCGGGGACCGCACCGCUUGAGGGCGGUAGGGGCUGGUGGAAUGCCUGGUGUAGUGGUGAAAUGCGUAGAGAUCAGGCGGAACACCUGGGGCGAAGGCGGCCAGCUGGGCCGUCCCUGACGCUGAGGCGCGAAGGCGUGGGGAGCGAACGGG
rnacentral:rRNA from 1 species